rnacentral:rRNA from 1 species
UACGAAGGGGGCUAGCGUUGUUCGGAAUUACUGGGCGUAAAGCGCGUGUAGGCGGGUCUUUAAGUCAGGGGUGAAAUGCCAGGGCUCAACCUUGGAACUGCCUUUGAUACUGGAGACCUUGAGUCCGGGAGAGGUGAGUGGAAUUGCGAGUGUAGAGGUGAAAUUCGUAGAUAUUCGCAAGAACACCAGUGGCGAAGGCGGCUCACUGGCCCGAACUGACGCUGAGACGCGAAAGCGUGGGGAGCAAACAGGG